UGAUCCCCUCCCUCACCGCCACCGCCACGAACUCCUACUCCGACACGAACUCUGCUCAAGCCCGCUCCCAUGGUUCCCGACAUCGACAUGGACUCUUUGCCCGUUCCGCAAGCCGAAGGCACCACCUACAGAAAGGACUCGAAUCCCUCGAUCGAAACCCCAGAUCAGACCGGAUUCCGGCGGCGCCACGACAGGUUGCCGGCCUGCAGUCCUCCUCACGGGAGAAGCUGCCUUCGCGGUGCGCUCUCGCUGCCUGCCGUCUUCGAUGAUGUGGGCCGGGGCGCCGCCCUUCCGCAGAUCCGCAAUCGAGUCGUGCGUCCGACCUGCCGCCUCCCCUCGACGUCCACGGCUCUGCUUUCUUCCGUGUUCUCUCCUAGCGCACGCCGUGGGGCGCUACGCCGCUAUCUGCCGGCUCCUCGUACAAGAGCGAUGGACAAACUGAGGCCCUGUGGGAAGCAAUCGCAUCAGCUCAGCGACGUCCAGCGUUUCUCCUCUCUAUGUUUCUUUGCACGCCUCAUCUCCAAGCACGAAGCCACGACGAGAUGUAAGUUUCAGCACCACUGAUCUGUUUUCUUGGUCAUGACUUGAUUCCCUCUUUUGAUCUAAAUAUUCUGAUUGCUGCAUGCCAUUGCCCUAAAUUUCUUGAUUACUGCAUGCCGCUGGAGUUGCUGUGUAUAGGUAGUGAACCAUAAUACAUGUGUGUUAUGCCUUCCACAUGUUUGACGUAAUGCCCAACCGAAUUGCUCACACAAAAUUCGAUGGGAACAGAAAGUAGGAUGGCUUCAAGCUGUCAAUCUUCGAGUUUCUAUAAAUUUUAAGCCCAAUGUUCCUCUAUGUCCCUGUUUCUUACCUCCUCACUCACCGAGCAGAUGAAGAAGCAGCACCAAAGUCCCCCUGAUGUUCCAUCUUUUAUAUUGCAAUAGUCAAACUUAAAUCUUUUUUACUGCAUGUCUCGUAGUAGGACAUCCAUUUACGAAAAGGAAGGUAGCAUACUUGUGGGUUGUGGCUGCACAAAUAAUUAUAUUGUUUACAUCGAGCUUUCUUUUUUACUGUAUGUUUUGUAGUAGGACAUCUGUUUAUGAAAGGGAAGGUAGCAUACUUGUGGCUGCACAAACAAUUAUAUUUUUUACAGAGGUAAAUACAUCAGAGGUGCCUAAACUUGUCCCGCACGGUCACUUUAGUGUCUAAACUUGCAAAAUGUCGAAAACUGGUGCUACAACUUGUCCAUUUGGUGCAUAUACGGUGCCUCGCUCAUACGCCGCCGUAUUUCCUUGCCACGUGGCCUGACAGCUGGCGUGUGGCCCACGGGUCGGUGGGUGGAAGCGUAGGAAGGGAUGAGUCGGAUGCAGCGGCGGCGCCGCAGCAAUUAUUUUCCAGAAAACCCACGGAGCUUUUCUUAAUUAUCGCAAAAAAGUCCUUGAUCUGUAUAACCGUCCAUACCCAAAUCUCCCCGAUUCAGAAAACACAAAACCAAAUCCCUAACCCUAUGUAGGCGGCGGCGGCUGAGGACGUACUCGAUUUGUUGCCGGCGGCGGCGGCGACUAAGGACGUACUUGAUUUGUCGCCGGCGGCGAGCUGUUGACUGAGAGUAGGAGGCGUGGCCGUCAGUGUUAUUUCUCUGCUCCCCCUUGUCCUCUGCUGCUCACUGAGAUGGCCGGCGUCGGCGGUCAGAACCGCAUCGAGGAGGAAUGGAAGGAGACUAGCGGUCAGGGCUUGCGAAUAUGUGAAGUGGAUAGAUCCAAAAUGGGAUGGCCGGGCAAAGGCAAUCAUUUGUGAUCUUGCUAUGAAGAACAAGCUGUUGCAGGAAGAAGUUGAGAAGAAGGAGGCUGAGAAGCAUUCAGGAGCACUAUAUCUGCAUCAUGGUCUACCAGCAGUACCAAGUUCUUGUGUUCUACUGUUGCAACAAUCAUGAGCACUAUAUCUGCAUCACAUGACAUCAGGUGAAGCCCAUCACAAAAAGAUUUACCAGGUUGGCACCAAUACACAUCCAUCUUGGAGUUUGCUCUGUCAUGGCCCAGUUGGAGAAAGAAAUCAUCUAUCCAUAAAUUAGACCAAGUAUCACUCUGACAGUAGUCAAACCAAUCAACUUCAUGAUCUAUAUACUUCAUGUUGCUACCAGAUCCACAAAAAAAUCCCUUGUGAUGGAUUUCAACUGUGAACAGACCAUCAAAUAGCCCUGCAUUAUUAGAAUAGAACAAAUAUUCAGACAACUAUGCUGCACAUGUAUUCAGCACAGAUUUCACUUAUGUACAAAAGAUUCAGGAGACAGCAUCCAUCUAUUUAGUUUACUAAACAGUUCAUUA